CAUGGGGGCGGAAGAGGUGCUGGGCAGGAGGCGGGCCGGCGCGGUUCUUUCCGGAAGGAUUGAGGCUGCUUUAGCCCCGCCCGCCUCCGCAGCUGCCUGAAGUAGUGCAGGGUCAGCCUGCAAGUUGCAGGUUAUGUCGCUGGUUGCUCGACUGUGGCGCUUUCUCCCUUUCCGACGUGGAGCCGCCCCGGGGUCUCGUCUCCCUGCGGGGACUUCGGGCAGCCGCGGGCACUGCGGCCCCUGUCGAUUCCGCGGCUUUGAGGUAAUGGGAAACCCAGGAACUUUCAAAAGAGGCCUUUUACUCUCAGCUUUGUCUUAUUUGGGUUUUGAAACUUACCAGGUUAUCUCUCAGGCUGCUGUGGUUCAUGCCACAGCCAAAGUUGAAGAAAUACUUGAACAAGCAGACUACCUGUAUGAAAGCGGAGAAACAGAAAAACUUUAUCAGUUGCUAACCCAAUACAAGGAAAGUGAAGAUGCAGAGUUACUGUGGCGUUUGGCACGGGCAUCACGUGAUGUAGCUCAGCUUAGCAGAACCUCAGAAGAGGAGAAAAAGCUAUUGGUGUAUGAAGCCCUAGAGUAUGCAAAAAGAGCACUAGAAAAAAAUGAAUCAAGUUUUGCAGCUCAUAAGUGGUAUGCAAUCUGCCUUAGUGAUGUUGGAGAUUAUGAAGGCAUCAAGGCUAAAAUUGCAAAUGCAUAUAUCAUCAAGGAGCAUUUUGAGAAAGCAAUUGAACUGAACCCUAAAGAUGCUACUUCAAUUCACCUUAUGGGUAUUUGGUGCUAUACAUUUGCUGAAAUGCCUUGGUAUCAAAGAAGAAUUGCUAAAAUGCUGUUUGCAACUCCUCCUAGUUCCACCUAUGAGAAGGCCUUAGGCUACUUUCACAGGGCAGAACAAGUGGAUCCAAACUUCUACAGCAAAAACUUACUUCUUUUAGGAAAGACAUACUUGAAACUACACAACAAAAAGCUUGCUGCUUUCUGGCUAAUGAAAGCCAAGGACUAUCCAGCACACACAGAGGAGGAUAAACAGGUAAAACAUCUCCCAUAAAGUAAGGCAGAAAGGUUUUGAGGCACUAUUAAAUGGUGAAUUAAGAACUUCUUUAAAAGCAUAAUUUUCUAAAUGCAUAAUAUUGUUGAAAACAAGUAUGUUCAUUUCAAGUAUAUAUUGAUUGACAUUUAUAUUUCUAUAUAGGAAAUGUUUAGUUACUAUCACCAGGUGGAUGUUACGGGUUGCCUGCUACAAUGCAGAAUUAUUCCUGUUUGACACACAUGGCAGAUCGAAUUAACAUUUCUAAAACAUAAAAGUCAUGGGAUGUGUACUAAAGUGGAAGAGCUGAGAGUCCCAUCUGGUCACUGUCAAGAAAUUUUAUUGUUAUAAUGUCCUAUCUGGUUUUUGGAAACUCUUAGAAACCCCACUUAUAAACUUAAAUUUCACAAGUUAGUCUCUUAGCUCUCCUGUUUACUUAUAACAUGUAUUUUUCCAUUUUAGAUACAGACAGAAGCUGCUCAGUUGCUUACAAGUUUCAGUGAGAAGAAUUGAGAACUUUUCAGAGAAGAUGUAUGAAAUAGCUAAUAAACAUUGCCUUUUCUUUUAAUUCUAAACUUAAUAUAUGAACUAUAACUGUUCUACGGCUUUUUAAAUGUUGUGACCAUUUAACAGUGUAAAUAUAAAAAAUUCUAGGCUUCUUCACAAAUAAUAAGGUAAAAGAAAUAAUCGCCAUAAGAAUGGUAGAAAUAAGUCUCCAUGGCUCAGGCAGAGAUUAUUUUGCAUCCUGGAUACCAGCAAUGCAAAAUGGUAUGAGAUUUCUAAGGAUUAAUCACAUUGGGAUGGGAGAUCAAGCAAAGAAAGCUUUGUAGAGGAGGGGAAAUGGGGAUAUACAGGGGGAUGGAUUUUCAAGUUGGAUUGAUUCUAAGUUGAAAUCUUGCAGAGAAGGUGUGAAAGUGGUUAGGAUGUUGUGGGUUCCUGACAUAAAGUAGUUAAAUGAUAUAUCUUGGAGCUAACCUGUGUAAGUAAAGAACUAAGUCAGGAGAUGACUAAAAUGGAGUAGUUUCCUUUUUUAUUUUUUUGAGACAGAGUCUCACUUUGUCAUCCAGGCUGGCGUGCAGUGGCACAGUCUCGGCCCACUGCAGCCUCCGCCUCCCGGGUUCAAGUGAUUCUCCUGCCUUAGCUUCCUGAGUGGCUGGGAUUACAGGUUGUACCACCACACUCGGCUAACUUUUGUAUUUUUGGUAGAGAUGGGGUUUUGCCAUGUUGGCUAGGCUGGUCUCAAACUCCUGGCCUCAAGUGAUCUGCCUGCCUCGGCCUCCCAGAGUGCUGGGAUUACAGGCGUGAGCCACGGCACCUGGCCAGUUUACUUUAAAUGUGGUGUAGUCUCAUGGUAGACUGAAUUUGUCAUCAGACGCAAAUUUCCAUUCCCUAAUGGAAUGGAAGGAACACAAAACUUAAGAGUGAAAUGGAAUACUAAGAUGUUUUUAAAUAGGCAGGACUCUGUUACUCCUUUGAGGCUGGAGUGCCACCACUGCAAAAUCUUUUUAAAAGUUUUGUAAAAAGGAGCAUCUUGAAUCCACUUAGAUAAAGAGAGACUGUGUGUGUAGGUGGAUUUUUCCCAAAGGAUUUGGGAAUUGUAAUGUUACAAUGAACUGUAUGGAUAUGUUUGUCAUGUACAUUUUCAAACAAAAAGGAAAACUGAAAGUAGUGAUCUUUGUACACCCAUCUCUUAGAUUCAGUGAUUUUGCUAUAUAGCCCUUAUCUGAAAUACGUGGGACUAGAAGAAGCAUUUUGGAUUUGGGAUGUUUGUCCAAAUUUUGGAAUACCUGCAUACACACAAUAAGAUAUCUUGGAGAUGGGACGCAAGUUUAAACACAAAAUAAUUCACUUGUUUCAUAUAUACCUUAUGCACAUAGCUUGAAGGUAACUAUAUAAUAUUAUUUUUAAUAAUUUUGUGCAUUGAGACAAAGUUUGCAUACCUUGAACCAUCAGAAAGCAAAGGUGUCGUUAUCUCAGCCACUCAUGUGGGCAAUUUGUGGUUGUUUGAUGUCACCAUCAUUCCUGACUGAAUGUAUAUGCUACCAAUAAGCAGUUAUUUUCUUACACUUAUUCAUGCAUAAGUACUUAACAGUAAAAAAUGACAUAACUCGCAUAGGAACAAGGAUGGCAAAAAAAAAAAAUAUGACAUACCGCUGAUACAGUGAAAAAAUAAUGUGGUCAGGGUAGCUAGGCAACAGUAGCAUCACCAGACACCUGUAUCAGCUGUUUAACGGCAACAACAAUGGCAGGCUUUCAGUCUCCCACUUAUGAUGCUGUAUUUUAAAAGGUUAUUGUAUACUGUAUUUUAUUUUUGUAGGUGAAGAGAAACAGAAGCAGCUGAAGGGCCAGGAAGUGGGUCUUUCUAGGGAUGUGGUGGCAUUCUGCUGGAUGGCUUUUUAAAAUGGGUUUUUUCCUUUAGGGAGACUGAAUAAACUGUGUUGUGCACCUGCAUUUUGACUGUGACCUGUUACAUGAGGUCAGAUGUGGAAUUUUCUACCUGUAGCAUCAUUUUGGCGCUCAGAAAGUUCUGAAUUAUGGAGCACGAAUUUCAGGUUCCAGAUUUUUGGAUUCAGGGAUGUUCAACCUGUAUUUAUAUGUGUGUGUUUGUGUGUGUAUAGACACAUAUAUUUCUAAACCUUUUGAAACUGAUUGCAAGCAUCAUAAUAGUUCACCCCAAAUGUGUCAGCAUGCAUUGUCCCAGAAUAAAGACAUCUUCCUAAACAAACACAAGACCAUUAUCACAACUGGAAAAGUUAACAAUUCUCUAACAUCAUCUAAUAUCUACCCAUAUUCAAAUUUUCUCAAAUGUCCCCAAGAUGUCUCAUGCUUUCUAAAAUCAGGAUCCAAAGAUUAUACACUGCAUUUGAUUUGUUGCUAAUCUUUCCAUCCACAACAGUUCCCCAUCUUUUUCUUCUUGCAACAUUGACUUUGUGAAUAGGCCCGUCCAGUUGUCACAGAUUCUUUCGCAUUCCAGAUUGGCCUAAUUGACCACACUUUGAGAACCACUGUUCCAACUUACUUAUUUCCAGGACUCAAAUUAGUUCUAUUAGCUCUUUGCCUGACUUUCACAUUUAUCACUUACUGAUUUUUCUUCUAGCCUUUUUGUUUCAUUUUCUUGGCUCUUUUCAUUUAUAUCUUCCAUAUCCCUUAUUUUACAUUUGGUUGUAUCUAUUCUUCCUUAGAUACUUUAUAAUUGCCUUCACGUCUGGUAUGUGUUUGUCUUUUUCUCCGAAUUUUUUUCCUGAUUUUAGCCAGUCAUUCACAUCUGCAUUUUGUUUGUCCAGUUCUGAGUUUUUAAGUUGCUAUUUUGGAUUUUUUUCAUAUCAUCUAAUAAUUUAAUUCAUAUUAGCAUAUUGUGUUAAAGUUUACUCUCCUUUUUCUAAUUUUCAAUUUUCUCUUUAGAGUGAUUUUUUUUUUUUUCCCUAGGGAUGUAAUUUUAUGUUGAGUUACCAGCAAUCUAGGUCAUCAAAUGGGAAGAAAGGGUCUGGGUUAGUUCAAGAAUAUUUUCUGCUUAGUUGUUUUUUGUGAGAUCAGGUAUCAUUCAGUAAUAAAGCUUUUUAUGGAGGUGAGGUUUUACCUCCUGAUUCCUUAUUAGAACUUUAAAAAAUACUUUUACUUUCAAAAAAUCAUAGAUUCACAAAUUGAAAAAAAAAAAAAAAAAAAAAGAGGUCCUGUGUACCUUUCUCUCAGCCUGUCCCAGUGCUAACAUCUUAUAUAACCUGUAGUACAAUAGCAAAACCUGGAAACUGACAUUGGUACAGACCACAGACCUUAGUAAAUUUUACCACUUUUAAAUGCUCUUGUGUGUAUCCACAUGUAGAUUUUUGUAACUGCCACCAUCAUCAAGAUACAGACCUGUUCCAUCAUUGCAAAGAUCCCUAGUGCUGUCCCUUUAUAGUCACACCCAUCCACCUCCUCUCCCCCAUCCAUCCCUAACUCUGACAGCACUAAUCUGUUCUCCAUAAUUUUGUUAUUUCAACAAUGUUAUACAAAUGGAAUCAUACAGUGAGACCCUGUGAUACUUUUUUUCACUCAGCAUAAUUCCCUUGAGACCUAAAAGUUCUAUCAAUCAAUAGUUUGUUCCCUUUUAGAGUUGACUAGUAUUUCAUUGUAUGGACAUACCAUAUCAACCAUAUGCUGAGGGGCAUUUAGGUUAUUCCUGAUUUUUGGCUAUUACAAAUAAAGCUGCUAUGAGCAUUAUAUGCAGGUUUUUAUGUCUACAUAGAUUUUAUCUCUCUGGGAUACAUGCCCAGGAGUGUGGCUACUGGGUCCUUUUAUCUUCAUUUUUCCCCUUUACUCUCUUGAGCGUUAGGUUUCUUCUGCAAGACAUGGUGCCUUCCCAAGAUUCUGAUUCUGUGCACUAAGUCUCUUCCAUUUGACUUCCCAGGAGCCUGAUUCCCCACGUGUCACACUGGUUCGUGACGUUUCCCCACUAAGGGUGAGACCCAUUACUGAGAACAAACCCCAGGAAUCCCUUACAUUCUCCUUCCCGUGCAGCCCCCACCUGAUUCUGUGCUUGUGUGGAUUCCAGAGCUGACUGCUGGAUUGAGAUGCUAUUUCCCCACGUACAUGUAUAUAGAAGUUGGUAGUACUCUGUCUUCUAAGUGUAUUACAUACAUAGGCUAUAUCUCUCCAUUAUAGAUGUUUCCUUCCUUCCUUUUGAGGAUAUGAGUAGAAUACUGAUUUUGGAAAAUGGCCAUGAUUCUGUAAGAACCUAAAAGCUCUCAAUUUCUCGAUGGCCAAGUUAUCUCAACUGAGGUUUUAAUCAUGGGCUGUGUACUAGCUGUGGAGGUUGUAAAAAUGACUUCUCUCAUACUCACUUUCCUCAUGUAUAAAAUAAGCAUCAUUAAAGACAGCCCCACCAAUUUCAUGGAAUUGUAAGGAUCAAGAGAAUAAUUUAUGUAAAGGAUUUACCAUGAAUACCAGUAAAUACAACUACUAUUAUCUCUGAUUUUGUUCUUGGUUGAGAAUUCAGGAGAGAAAUUUUGGAAUUUAGGAGAUGUCACUUUUGGACUUAGAUCAAAUCCUCAGUUGACCUAAAUCUUGGCUUUUAAGGCCAACUGAGUGUUACAGGAGAACUUUUAUUUGUGUAUUUCAACAGAGGAAGAUUUUUACUUCUGCAACAUCCACCAAAUCAUCUUAGGUUCAACCAAACAUUCAGACUUAACAAGUCUACAAUAGGCUGUCUUUGGCACCAAUCUACUCAGAAGGCUAUAGGACAGGAACCACAGCUCACCAGCAGGACAAUUUUGAACCUCCUUUCAGAAGACAGUCUUCUAACAGCCAUCUACGCAAUGGUAUCUCCCCAGGUGACAGCUCAUGGUCCUCCUUAAAGGACAUGCAAUUACGAGAGUUUUCCACUCAGGGUUCUGUGUAGCCUCACCUAGUGCAUUGUAAUUUCUUACUUGAGGAGGGAGACCAGCACCCUGAAAACGAACUGGAAAGCCACCUUCUUCAGUCAAAUCUGCUAAAUCAUACCUACAAUGAAUGAUAUUCAAUAACUUCUAUCAUGGCAAAAUUUAUACAGCAGUGGUAUCAUUUGUAAUUCUAAUACUUAACUCUUUUAUGGUAUCAUUAAGGCAGUCCUUUUUGAAGGCCAGUUUCCCUCUAUCACAUAACCUGUCACAUACAUUAGAAUUUUUUUUUAAUUCUUUAGGCUUGAAAAUUACCAGAGUGUUCAUAAUUAGGAUUUGGAAAAGUAGUCUAUUCAACCAAGCAGAGCUCUACCUUUCUUUCAUCUUUACUAUGAAUUCUGAAUAAAAUGGAGAACACACUCAAUAUGUAGAAAAAUAAAAUUUUGGCAAAACAAUAAUUACUGUUUUUCUGUAUGUACUUGGCAGUGAAAUAUUUAUAGGCAACAGAUUUUAAGAAGUCAGUUCCACGGCUAUAAAAAAUGUUUAAGUUAAUGAAAUUUACAGUGCAUAUUAAAAGCAUGAUACAAAUGGAAGUUUAAAAUUUGCUAUUAGGAAGCCCAGUUUGCUAAAGUAGCAUUAAUAUCAUUCACAUCAAAUUUUAAUUUGUUACACAUUUUUGUAGUUCAGCAAAGGCCCUUAUGAUGAAAAACAAUUAAAAAGUUAUGACAAAAAUAAUGAUCUGUGUAAAAAGGGGGAGACCCAAAAGACUUUUAUAUGGUUAUUUAAUUCAGAUAAAUAGAACUGUUAUGAAUUUGAGAGGAAUGAAGAUAUUCAAACACUAACAAAAUCAUUAGCCUCGUAUUAGAGCAUUCAAAUGCUUAUUUAACUCUUCAAUCCAUCUGGCUUCAUAAAAACCAAAACUUUGAACACAAAAAAGUGGCAGAGUUCACAUUACCUUUUAUAUGUUCCUAAGUAUGAAAUUGCAUCAAUUUAUUAUGAAUUAAAUUUGAAAAGCAUCACAGAUUUAAAACCAAAGUACAAAAGAGCCUGAUUCUUUUUAAUUCCACAAAUACCUAGCAUCUCAAAGUAACAUGUAAACAAACUUCUAUGCUGCUCAAUGAAUCCUUCCAAUUUCGAUAAUAAACUAGUAUCAGAUCUAGUAUAUGACUUUCAUGUGUAAGUUAUGGUUUUAUCCAUUACUUUGACAAUAUUACUGAUGUAACAGAAAAAUUUUCAACUAUUGUAUUUAUUUAAAACAAACUGACAGGUUCAAGCACCUGUCUUCAGAAAAGCCAGCAGCAUUUUUUUUUUCUUUUUUUUAAACAUACUCAAAGUAAGAUUUGGCCUAAGCCCUUAAUACCUUCCUGAACAGCCAUGCAACUAAACACCCUCAGGAGAUGUUACAUAAGGGAGAGAAGAACAUGGAGCAAUUUGCACUUUUUCCCCUAGAUAGUAUUAACAAGGUAAAGCAAAUCCAGAUCUUUAUGAAUGAACGGCUGUCAUGUUUAAUACACUUGGAGCUCUAUAAAACUAGAGCCACUAUCAUAUAUGCUUAUAUAGAUAUAUAUGUAUUUUUAAUAAAGUCUUUCACUUGCUUCAAAA